rnacentral:rRNA from 1 species
UACGGAGGGUGCAAGCGUUAAUCGGAAUUACUGGGCGUAAAGCGUGCGCAGGCGGUUUGUUAAGUCUGCUGUGAAAUCCCCGAGCUCAACUUGGGAAUUGCAGUGGAUACUGGCAAGCUGGAGUACGGUAGAGGAGAGUGGAAUUCCCGGUGUAGCGGUGAAAUGCGCAGAUAUCAGGAGGAACACCAAUGGCGAAGGCAGCUCGCUGGGACGGUACUGACGCUGAGACGCGAAAGCGUGGGGAGCAAACAGG